GCCCAUCCACGCUACGGCGCCUUAACCCCGUCCCUGGUGACGGGCAUGGCCUGAUGCGGAUCUUGGCCCUCCGAGCCAUGGCGGCGCGGCGGGCCGAAGUGUGCGGCCGUCGGAUGGAGCCGGUAGCGGCGAGUGGUGGGUUGCUGCGCGCGCCGCUCCGUGCCCGUCCGGCACAGGGCCUUCUCUGACCCCCGAACGAGGAGCCGGCUGUCGCAGCGUGCGGCUGAGCGGCAUCUCUGGACC
rnacentral:misc_RNA from 1 species